UCAGUCCAAUCCAGCUCUUCAUCCAUUUGAUCAAAUAAUUCAACUUCAUCUUCACUCCUUGCUAUCAUGCGAUUUACCUCUAGCAGUGAUGGAACGUCAUGGACUGUUUCUUGAUAACGCUCUUCAUCAUGUAGUAAUGUCUCCAAAGUCAUGCGUCUCUCUUCAUGUGUUGUUAUUUGGUCAAAGCGUCCAGCAUUGAUAACCUCAUCAGCCAUGUCAAUCUUAUAUUGUUGAAUAUUAUUCCUUAUGAGGCUCUCAAUAGACCCCAUGUAUCGAUCUUUACCAGCAAGGUCAUCUUCUAGAUCAAGUGAACCUCCACUUCUUAAUUCAUCCUCUUUCUGAUGGCUAGAAAU
rnacentral:misc_RNA from 1 species